UACAGAGGGUGCGAGCGUUAAUCGGAAUUACUGGGCGUAAAGCGUGCGCAGACGGUUGCGUAAGUCAGAUGUGAAAGCCCCGGGCUCAACCUGGGAAUUGCAUUUGAGACUGCGUAGCUAGGGUGCGGAAGAGGGAAGCGGAAUUUCCGGUGUAGCGGUGAAAUGCGUAGAUAUCGGAAGGAACACCAGUGGCGAAAGCGGCUUCCUGGUCCAGCACCGACGUCAGGCACGAAAGCGUGGGGAGCAAACAGG
rnacentral:rRNA from 1 species